CCUACGGGUGGCAGCAGUGGGGAAUAUUGGACAAUGGGCGAAAGCCUGAUCCAGCCAUGCCGCGUGUGUGAAGAAGGCCUUCGGGUUGUAAAGCACUUUCAGUGGGGAAGAAAGCCUUGGGGCUAAUACCCUCGAGGAAGGACAUCACCCACAGAAGAAGCACCGGCUAACUCCGUGCCAGCAGCCGCGGUAAUACGGAGGGUGGAGCGUUAAUCGGAAUUACUGGGCGUAAAGCGCGCGUAGGCGGUCUGAUAAGCCGGUUGUGAAAGCCCCGGGCUCAACCUGGGAACGGCAUCCGGAACUGUCAGGCUAGAGUGCAGGAGAGGAAGGUAGAAUUCCCGGUGUAGCGGUGAAAUGCGUAGAGAUCGGGAGGAAUACCAGUGGCGAAGGCGGCCUUCUGGACUGACACUGAUGCUGAGGUGCGAAAGCGUGGGUAGCAAACAGGAUUAGAUACCCUAGUAGUC
rnacentral:rRNA from 1 species